GUGAGAUCCGUGUUGGCGCCUUGGGCAUCCUUGGAGGUCCGGGGUGGUCCGUGUUGGUCCUUGAACGUCCGGGAGGCCAACACGGCAGUUUUUGACUGUCAAAAACAUCCGGCGUCAUCCGUGGACUGCCGGGUUGGCAAAGCCAUCCGGGAUGGUCCGUGUAGGUCCGUGUAGCUGCCGUGUAGGUCCGUGUGGCUGCCUGGAGUAUCCUUGGCAGUCCGUGUUCUU